AUCAAAGGUGAGCCAGUACAGGAUGGACCCGCGUCUGAUUAGCUAGUUGGUAAGGUAACGGCUUACCAAGGCGACGAUCAGUAGCCGACCUGAGAGGGUGAUCGGCCACAUUGGAACUGAGACACGGUCCAAACUCCUACGGGAGGCAGCAGUGGGGAAUAUUGCACAAUGGGCGAAAGCCUGAUGCAGCAACGCCGCGUGAGUGAUGAAGGCCUUCGGGUCGUAAAACUCUGUCCUCAAGGAAGAUAAUGACGGUACUUGAGGAGGAAGCCCCGGCUAACUACGUGCCAGCAGCCGCGGUAAUACGUAGGGGGCUCGCGUUAUCCGGAUUUACUGGGCGUAAAGGGUGCGUAGGCGGUCUUUCAAGUCAGGGGUGAACGGCUACGGGUCAACAGUAGUAAGCUCUUGAAACUGGGAGACUUGAGUGCAGGAGAGGAGAGUGGAAUUCCUAGGGUAGCGGUGAAAUGCGUAGAUAUUAGGAGGAACACCAGUUGCGAAGGCGGCUCUCUGGACUGUAACUGACGCUGAGGCACGAAAGCGUGGGGAGCAAACAGGAUUAGAUACCCUGGUAGUCCACGCU
rnacentral:rRNA from 1 species